UACGUAGGGGGCUAGCGUUGCUCGGAAUCACUGGGCGUAAAGCGCACGUAGGCGGAUUGUUAAGUCAGGGGUGAAAUCCUGGAGCUCAACUCCAGAACUGCCUUUGAUACUGGCGAUCUUGAGUCCGGGAGAGGUGAGUGGAACUGCGAGUGUAGAGGUGAAAUUCGUAGAUAUUCGCAAGAACACCAGUGGCGAAGGCGGCUCACUGGCCCGAUACUGACGCUGAGGCACGAAAGCGUGGGGAGCAAACAGG
rnacentral:rRNA from 1 species